rnacentral:rRNA from 1 species
UACAGAGGGUGCGAGCGUUAAUCGGAGUUACUGGGCGUAAAGGGCGCGUAGGCGGUGAGAUGAGUGUGAUGUGAAAGCCCCGGGCUUAACCUGGGAAGCGCAUCGCAAACGAUCUGACUGGAGUAUAAGAGAGGGUGGCGGAAUUUCCGGUGUAGCGGUGAAAUGCGUAGAGAUCGGAAGGAACGUCGAUGGCGAAGGCAGCCACCUGGCUUAAUACUGACGCUGAGGCGCGAAAGCGUGGGGAGCGAACAGG